rnacentral:rRNA from 1 species
UUGUUUUAGCUUGACUUAUCAAUAGGUUUUCCAUCCCCUAUUGUGGCGUCUAAAUUAUACCAAGGUUUCUAACCAUAGGUUGGUUAGGGGUUGAGGUCCAUUCCAUUAGAACUUGAACUUAAUUGAGAUCCGGGCUAAUAUAAUACGGGUUUAGGAGCAGGUCGUCCUAGGUUCGUAUCAGUUCGCGUCUGAUUAGCUAGUUGAUGAGGUAAUAUCUUACCAAGGUGAUGAUCAGUAGCUGGUCCAAGAGGAUGAUUAGCCAUACUGGGAUUGCGACACUGCCCAGACUCCUAUGGGACACAGCAGUGGGGAAUUUUCCACAAUGGGUGAAAGCCUGAUGGAGCAAUGCUGCGUGCAGGAAGAAGGCCUACAGGUUGUGAACUUCUUUUCCCAGAGAAGAAACAGUGACAGCAUAUGAGGAAUAAGUAUCAGCUAACUCUGUGCCAGCAACUGUAGUAAUACAGAGGAUGCAAGCAUUAUCCAGGAUGAUUGGGCAUAAAGCAUCUAUAGGUGGCCUUUUAAGUCCGUGGUCAAAUCCUAGGGCUCAACCCUAGAACAGCGAUGGAAACUACCAAGCUGAAGUAUGGUAGGGGCAGAGGAUAUUUUCGAUGGAGUGGUGAAAUGUGUAGAGAUCGAAAAGGACACCAAUGGUGAAAGCACUCUGCUAGGCCGACACUGACACUGAGAGAUGAAAGCUAGGGGAGCAAAUGGGAUUAGAUACCCCAGUAGUCCUAGCCAUAAACGAUGGGUACUAGGCGUUGUGCAUAUCGACUCGUGCAGUGCUAUAGCUAAUGCGUUAAGUAUCUCACACAAGUGAUGAAGCAUGCAAUUUAAUUCGAUGCAAAGCAAAGAACCUUUCCAGGGCUUAACAUGCCGUGAAUCCUCUUGAAAGAGAGGGGUGUCUUUGGGAAUGCCAACACGGGUGGUGCAUUGCCACCGUUGGGUUUGGAACCUUGAGCAGAUUGCAGGUGAUAAGCCAAAGGAAGGUGAGGAUGAUGUUAAAUCCUCAUGCCUCUUAUGCCCUGGGUGACAGUGAGGGUGAGCUAACUCCAAAAACCCAUCCUCAGUUUGGAUCGUAGGAUGCAACUCCCCUAGAUGAAGCCGAAAUCUCUAAUAAUCACCGGUCAGUCAUAUGGCGGUGAAUUUGUUCCGAGCCUUGUACACACCGCCCAUCACGCUAUGGGAGCUGGCCAUGCCUGAGUCGUUACUUAACUACAAUAAGGGGGAUGCCGAAGGUAAGGCUAGUGACUAGGGUGAAGUCGUGACAAGGUAGUCGUACUAGAAGGUUCGGCUG